rnacentral:rRNA from 1 species
AGCUCCAUUGGCGUAUAUUAAAGUUGUUGCGGUUAAAAAGCUUCCGUAGUUGGAUCUGUGUAUCGGACGGUCGGUUCGCCGCUCGCGGUGUUUGACUGACCGGUUCGGACGUCAUGCCGGUGGGACCUCGGCGCAAGUCGGGGUUCCGUAACUUACCCUCCGCGCUGCUCUUCAUUGAGUGGUUCGGUGGGCCGGCACGUUUACUUUGAACAAAUUUGAGUGCUCAAAGCAGGCCUUAUGUUGCCUGGAAACUGUGUGCAUGGAAUAAUGAAAGAGGACCUUGGUUCUAUUUUGUUGGCUUUCUGAACUCGAGGUAAUGAUUAACAGGGACAGACGGGGGCAUUCGUAUUGCGACGUUAGAGGUGAAAUUCUUGGAUCGUCGCAAGACGGACCGAUGCGAAAGCGUUUGCCAAGAAUGUUUUCGCUAAUCAAGAACGAAAGUUAGAGGUUCGAAGGCGAUUAGAUACCGCCCUAGUUCUAACCAUAAACGAUGUCAGCCAGCGAUGCGCCGAUGUUCCUCCGAUGACACGGCGCGCAACUUCCGGGAAACCAAAGCUUUUGGGUUCCGGGGGAAGUA